UACGGAGGAUCCAAGCGUUAUCCGGAUUUAUUGGGUUUAAAGGGUGCGUAGGCGGCUUAUUAAGUCAGGGGUGAAAGACGGUGGCUCAACCAUCGCAGUGCCCUUGAUACUGAUGAGCUUGAAUACACUUGAGGUAGGCGGAAUGUGACAAGUAGCGGUGAAAUGCAUAGAUAUGUCACAGAACACCAAUUGCGAAGGCAGCUUACUAAGGUGCAAUUGACGCUGAGGCACGAAAGCGUGGGGAGCGAACAGG
rnacentral:rRNA from 1 species